rnacentral:ncRNA from 1 species
UGCCAAGAAUGUUUUCAUUAAUCAAGAACGAAAGUCGGAGGUUCGAAGACGAUCAGAUACCGUUGUAGUUCCGACCAUAAAUGAUGCCGACUGGUGAUGCGGCGGUGUUAUUCCCAUGACCCGCCGGGCAGCUUCUGGGAAACCAAAGUCUGGGUUCCGGGGGGAGUAUGGUUGCAAAGCUGAAACUUAAAGGAAUUGACGUAAGGGCACCACCAGGAGUGGAGCCUGCGGCUUAAUUUGACUCAACAUGGGAAACCUCGCCCGG